rnacentral:rRNA from 1 species
UACGGAGGGGGCGAGUGUUGUUCGGAAUUACUGGGCGUAAAGGGCGCGCAGGCGGCUUGGCAAGUCGGGUGUGAAAUCCCUUGGCUUAACUGAGGAAUGGCGCUCGAAACUACCUCGCUGGAGGGCGGGAGAGGGAAGUGGAACUCUCGGUGUAGGGGUGAAAUGCGUAGAUAUCGGAAGGAACACCAGUGGCGAAAGCGGCUUCCUGGUCCAGCACCGACGUUCAGGCACGAAAGCGUGGGGAGCAAACAGG